GUAGCUCAGUGUGAAAGCCCUGGGUUCAAUCCCCAGCACCAGAAAAACAACCUGGGAAGUCAGGAAGCUUCUGGGAGGGGUCCUGUAGUGACAGAGAGGAGUUGGCCAGUGGGGGUGGGAGGGGCCUGGGCCUCAAGCUACAGUCUCCAUCUGAGAUGAAAGAGGAGGUGGAAGUGUUCAGCAGGGCCCAGGGCUUGUCGUCCUGCUUGGAAUAUGGGGGUGACCUAGAGGCAAGGAGCAGCUCUCUCCAGCAGUGGCCGAGGCAGAUGGCAGUGGGCAGCAUGUGGGUCAUAGGCAGGGCCAUGGGGGCUGGUGGCAGCCCCAGGGGGUGGCGCAUGUAGACAGGUGGGAGCUGCUCAGGUGCAGGCCUGGGAGGGGCAGUAAAAGGGCUGCGCUGGCUCUGCCCCACACCCAUCAUCCUCCACCACCCCCGCAGGGUGAGAACAUCACCAAUGCCCCCGAGCUGCAGCCCAAUGCCGUCACAUGGGGCAUCUUCCCGGGGCGAGAGAUCAUCCAGCCCACAGUGGUGGACCCCGUCAGCUUCAUGUUCUGGAAGGACGAGGCCUUUGCCCUGUGGAUCGAGCAGUGGGGCAAACUGUAUGACGAGGAGUCCCCAUCCCGCAUGAUCAUCCAGUACAUCCAUGACAACUACUUCCUGGUCAACCUGGUGGACAACGAGUUCCCGCAGGACAGCUGCCUGUGGCAGG